GANGAACGCUGGCGGCGUGCUUAACACAUGCAAGUCGAACGGAAAGGCCUCAGCUUUUGUUGGGGUGCUCGAGUGGCGAACGGGUGAGUAACACGUGGGUGAUCUGCCUCGUACUUCGGGAUAAGCUUGGGAAACUGGGUCUAAUACCGGAUAGGACCAUCAUUUAGUGUUGGUGGUGGAAAGUUUUUUCGGUGCGAGAUGAGCCCGCGGCCUAUCAGCUUGUUGGUGGGGUAAUGGCCUACCAAGGCGUCGACGGGUAGCCGGCCUGAGAGGGUGGACGGCCACAUUGGGACUGAGAUACGGCCCAGACUCCUACGGGAGGCAGCAGUGGGGAAUAUUGCACAAUGGGCGCAAGCCUGAUGCAGCGACGCCGCGUGGGGGAUGACGGCCUUCGGGUUGUAAACCUCUUUCGGUAGGGACGAAGCCUUUUUGGUGACGGUACCUGUAGAAGAAGCACCGGCUAACUACGUGCCAGCAGCCGCGGUAAUACGUAGGGUGCGAGCGUUGUCCGGAAUUACUGGGCGUAAAGAGCUCGUAGGUGGUUUGUUGCGUCGUCUGUGGAAUACCGGGGCUUAACUUCGGAGCUGCAGGCGAUACGGGCAUAACUGGAGUGCUGUAGGGGAGACUGGAAUUCCUGGUGUAGCGGUGGAAUGCGCAGAUAUCAGGAGGAACACCGAUGGCGAAGGCAGGUCUCUGGGCAGUAACUGACGCUGAGGAGCGAAAGCAUGGGGAGCGAACAGGAUUAGAUACCCUGGUAGUCCAUGCUGUAAACGGUGGGCGCUAGGUGUAGGGGUCUUCCACGAUUUCUGUGCCGUAGCUAACGCAUUAAGCGCCCCGCCUGGGGAGUACGGCCGCAAGGCUAAAACUCAAAGGAAUUGACGGGGGCCCGCACAAGCGGCGGAGCAUGUGGAUUAAUUCGAUGCAACGCGAAGAACCUUACCUGGGCUUGACAUACACCAGAUCGGCACAGAGGUGUGUUUUCCCUUUGUGGUUGGUGUACAGGUGGUGCAUGGUUGUCGUCAGCUCGUGUCGUGAGAUGUUGGGUUAAGUCCCGCAACGAGCGCAACCCUUGUCUUAUGUUGCCAGCACGUGGUGGUGGGGACUCAUGAGAGACUGCCGGGGUUAACUCGGAGGAAGGUGGGGAUGACGUCAAAUCAUCAUGCCCCUUACGUCCAGGGCUUCACACAUGCUACAAUGGUCGGUACAACGCGCUGCGAGCCUGUGAGGGUGAGCGAAUCGCUGAAAGCCGGCCUCAGUUCGGAUUGGGGUCUGCAACUCGACCCCAUGAAGUCGGAGUCGCUAGUAAUCGCAGAUCAGCAACGCUGCGGUGAAUACGUUCCCGGGCCU
rnacentral:rRNA from 1 species